rnacentral:rRNA from 1 species
AUUGAACGCUGGCGGCAGGCCUAACACAUGCAAGUCGAGCGGAUGAAGGGAGCUUGCUCCUGGUUUCAGCGGCGGACGGGUGAGUAAUGCCUAGGAAUCUGCCUGGUAGUGGGGGAUAACGUCCGGAAACGGGCGCUAAUACCGCAUACGUCCUGAGGGAGAAAGUGGGGGAUCUUCGGACCUCACGCUAUCAGAUGAGCCUAGGUCGGAUUAGCUAGUUGGUGGGGUAAAGGCCUACCAAGGCGACGAUCCGUAACUGGUCUGAGAGGAUGAUCAGUCACACUGGAACUGAGACACGGUCCAGACUCCUACGGGAGGCAGCAGUGGGGAAUAUUGGACAAUGGGCGCAAGCCUGAUCCAGCCAUGCCGCGUGUGUGAAGAAGGUCUUCGGAUUGUAAAGCACUUUUAGUUGGGAGGAAGAGCAGUAAGUUAAUACCUUGCUGUUUUGACGGUACCCACAGAAUAAGCACCGGCUAACUUCGUG